CAGUCGCCGCGGUAAUACGUAGGUGGCAAGCGUUGUCCGGAAUUAUUGGGCGUAAAGGGCUCGCAGGCGGUUUCUUAAGUCUGAUGUGAAAGUCCCCGGCUCAACCGUGGAGGGUCAUUGGAAACUAGGAAACUUGAGUGCAGAAGAGGAGAGUGGAAUUCCACGUGUAGCGGUGAAAUGCGUAGAGAUGUGGAGGAACACCAGUGGCGAAGGCGACUCUCUGGUCUGUAACUGACGCUGAGGAGCGAAAGCGUGGGGAGCGAACAGGAUUAGAUACCCGCGUAGUCCCUGUCUCUUAUAC
rnacentral:rRNA from 1 species